rnacentral:lncRNA from 1 species
GUCGCUACAAAAUGAUAAUUGUCAUCGAAUAUAUAACAAUUACUAAUAAAAUUUAAGAGGAGAAAAAGAAAGCACAAAAUCAAAGAGACUUAUUUCAUUUUGCCAGCCUUGGCAACAUCAACAACAUUCAUCAGCAAAACAACACCAAUUAAGUAUUAUUAACACACGACAAGUGCAAAUAAUAUCUUAAUGGAUUGAUCAGAAUUAGUUAGAAGUGGAAAGGUAGAAAACGUUGCAUUCCUCUACUUGGUAACUGAAGAUUAAGAUUUUUCUCUUAUUUUUUCCCCUUUCUGAACGAAGUUGGGGGAAGGGGGGUAUUGCAAUUUUGAUUAGAUAAAUGGAGCAAAUUCUUAACAUGACAUCAUAGUAUCAGCAUUACCUUCCCACUGAACUUCUCAAGCUCUCUCACUAGUCUAAGAUGAAAAAUCUUGCGGAAAGCUUUCCUAAGACGAUAAGGAAUAUGGAUUACAAGAACCUUCUUUUUCCAGAAACAUCAAUUUGCCUGCACAAUAUUAAAUGGACUGAUGAUCAACAUGCUACAAAAUGGUGAUUGGGCAAAGAAUAAGUGUUAAUCAAGUAACUUUUAAAUGGUAUAGUUGAUGUAAAGAUCUUUCAAGGCACUCUUAAAUCCUUGGUUU